rnacentral:tRNA from 1 species
GCAGUGGUGGUUCAGUGGUAGAAUUCUUGACUUCCACACAGGAGACCCGGGUUUGAAUCCCAGUCAGUGCA